rnacentral:rRNA from 1 species
UACAGAGGUCUCAAGCGUUGUUCGGAAUCACUGGGCGUAAAGGGUGCGUAGGUGGCGUGGUAAGUCAGAUGUGAAAGCCCGGGGCUCAACCCCGGAAUUGCAUCCGAUACUACCAUGCUAGAGUACUGAAGAGGUGACUAGAAUUCUCGGUGUAGCAGUGAAAUGCGUAGAUAUCGAGAGGAAUACCAAAGGCGAAGGCAGGUCAUUGGGCAGUUACUGACACUGAGGCACGAAGGCUAGGGGAGCAAACGGG